UGUUGCCUUCUUUCUGCCUCCGCUACCGCCAUGGCGCCCAUGAAAAAGCUUGUGGUAAAGGAGGGCUAAAAAAAAGGAAGCAGGUUCCAAAGUUCACUCUUGAUCGCACCCACCCCGUAGAAGAUGGAAUCAUGGAUGCUGCCAACUUUGAGCAGUUUUUCCAAGAAAGGAUCAAAAUGAACGGAAAAGCUGGGAACUUUGGUGGAGGGGUAGUGACCAUCGAAGGGAGCAAGAGCAAGACCAGCGUGACAUCCAAGCUGCCCUUUUCCAACAGGUAUUUGAAAUAUCUCACCAAAAAAUAUCUGAAGAAGAAUAAUCUACAUGAUUGGUUGCGCGUAGUUGCUAACAGCAAACAGAGUUACGAAUUACGUUACUUCCAAAUUAACCAGGACGAAGAGGAGGAAAACGAGGAUUAAAUUUCAUUUAUCGGCCGGGCGCGGU
ensembl:lncRNA novel transcript